rnacentral:lncRNA from 1 species
GAGAGCGUGGGAAACCAGCAAGUUGAGAGAGGAUCCAGAAGUAACCCCUUCUAAAACGGGAAAGAUGCCUUCCGAAAGACCGGAUGGCCUGGUACUGGUCUUCUCUAGACUGAAGGUCCUCCACCAGGUCUCCUGCUGCUGCUACCUAAGAAAGAAAUCUCACAAGGGUGUUAAAAGCACUUGGCCCUAAAGAGAAAACACUAGGAGGAUGGGAACCAGGGACAGAGAAGCUACUUGCUCUGCAGCUGUUUGGGCCAGUAUGUUCCCUAAUCUUGAUGGCCAUCCUGGGCUUAUUUUCCUGAGAGUCUCUAAGUGACUCACUGCAUCACGUAAAACUAAGAAAAAGGAUGUCCUGAA